rnacentral:rRNA from 1 species
AUGGCCACCGCCGGCAACGCCCCCCGCUCCCGCAAGCGCGUCGAGGCCACCGUCCUCAAGCGCGCGCGCGACGGGAGCGCCUUCACCCGCUGCGAGGCGUGCAACAAGGACGUAGCCAUCGUCCUCAUCGACCUGCACAGCUGCAGCCUCGACUCCAAGAUACGCCUCAGCCUCGAGUCGCAGGUGGUGGAGAAGGCCGUGGAGAUCCAGGAGAAGAAGAGGAAGGCGCCCUCCGCUGCCGCCGGAGGCAAGGGGAAGAAGAAGAGCAAGGCAGACGGAGAUGGUGCCAAGAAGCUAAAGGCAAAGCGCCCACCAACUGCCUUCUUCCUCUUCAUGAAGGACUUCAGGGUGGAGUUCAAGGCCUCCCACCCCGAUGAGAAGGGUGUUGCCGCCGUUGGCAAGGCAGCAGGGGAGAAGUGGAAAUCCAUGACUGAAGAGGAGAAGAAGCCCUACAAUGACCAGGCCAAGGAGCUCAAGGCCCAGUUUGCCAAUGGCGAGGGCAGCGCGGAGAACAAUGUGGGAGAUGAGGAGAAGGCAGAUGCUGACGCAGAAGAGGUGGAGGAUGCGGAACAGGAGGUGGAUAAGCCAGAAGAUGCCCCAGAGGACGAGGAGGAGGAAGAGGAGAAGAACGAGCUGGAUGAUGACAUCUAG